rnacentral:rRNA from 1 species
UGGGGAAUAUUGGACAAUGGGCGAAAGCCUGAUCCAGCCAUGCCGCGUGUGUGAAGAAGGUCUUCGGAUUGUAAAGCACUUUAAGUUGGGAGGAAGGGCAGUAAGCUAAUACCUUGCUGUUUUGACGUUACCGACAGAAUAAGCACCGGCUAACUUCGUGCCAGCAGCCGCGGUAAUACGAAGGGUGCAAGCGUUAAUCGGAAUUACUGGGCGUAAAGCGCGCGUAGGUGGUUUGAUAAGUUGGAUGUGAAAGCCCCGGGCUCAACCUGGGAAUUGCAUCCAAAACUGUCUGACUAGAGUAUGGCAGAGGGUGGUGGAAUUUCCUGUGUAGCGGUGAAAUGCGUAGAUAUAGGAAGGAACACCAGUGGCGAAGGCGACCACCUGGGCUAAUACUGACACUGAGGUGCGAAAGCGUGGGGAGCAAACAAGGAUUAGAUACCCUGGUAGUCCACGCCGUAAACGAUGUCGACUAGCCGUUGGGGAUCCUUGAGAUCUUAGUGGCGCAGCUAACGCAUUAAGUCGACCGCCUAGGGAGUACGGCCGCAAGGUUAAAA